UACGAAGGGUGCAAACGUUGCUCGGAAUUAUUGGGCGUAAAGCGCACGUAGGCGGCAUCGCAAGUCCCAUGUGAAAGCCCACGGCUUAACCGUGGAAGUGCAUGGGAAACUGCAGUGCUUGAGUACUUAAGAGGAUCGCGGAAUUCCCGGUGUAGAGGUGAAAUUCGUAGAUAUCGGGAGGAACACCAGUGGCGAAGGCGGCGUCUGGGGAAGAUACUGACGCUGAGGUGCGAAAAGCGUGGGGGAGCAAACAGG
rnacentral:rRNA from 1 species